GAUGAACGCUGGCGGCGUGCCUAAUACAUGCAAGUCGAGCGAACAGACGAGGAGCUUGCUCCUUCGACGUUAGCGGCGGACGGGUGAGUAACACGUAGGUAACCUACCUAUAAGACUGGGAUAACUUCGGGAAACCGGAGCUAAUACCGGAUAAUAUUUCGAACCGCAGGGUUCGAUAGUGAAAGAGGGCUUUGCUAUCACUUAUAGAUGGACCUGCGCCGUAUUAGCUAGUUGGUAAGGUAACGGCUUACCAAGGCAACGAUACGUAGCCGACCUGAGAGGGUGAUCGGCCACACUGGAACUGAGACACGGUCCAGACUCCUACGGGAGGCAGCAGUAGGGAAUCUUCCGCAAUGGGCGAAAGCCUGACGGAGCAACGCCGCGUGAGUGAUGAAGGUCUUCGGAUCGUAAAACUCUGUUAUUAGGGAAGAACAAACGUGUAAGUAACUGUGCACGUCUUGACGGUACCUAAUCAGAAAGCCACGGCUAACUACGUG
rnacentral:rRNA from 1 species